UACGUAGGUGGCGAGCGUUAUCCGGAAUUAUUGGGCGUAAAGCGCGCGCAGGCGGUUUCUUAAGUCUGAUGUGAAAGCCCACGGCUCAACCGUGGAGGGUCAUUGGAAACUGGGAAACUUGAGUGCAGAAGAGGAAAGCGGAAUUCCACGUGUAGCGGUGAAAUGCGUAGAGAUGUGGAGGAACACCAGUGGCGAAGGCGGCUUUCUGGACAGAUACUGACACUGAGGCACGAAAGCAUGGGGAGCAAACAGG
rnacentral:rRNA from 1 species